UUUAAAAAAAACAUAAUCUCUUUGCUCUCAUUCUCUCAUCUCAUCAACGCAUUCUUGUAAGAGCGUUUUACCUAAAAAGUAAAGUGAUUUUUACGUCGUCAGCUCUUUGGAUUCUCCCAGUUAGCUUUCAUGGAAUCGAUGAGCAUGCCAAAUUAACAAGUAUCAAGUCUCUGCUCUCGAGUCUCGAUCUCGUUGCUCUCCGGUCCAGAUCGAUAUUUUACCUAAUUCCUUUCAGUUCGUCGAUCCCCGAGAUUAUCUAUGCUCUCUCUCCGUCGUAAAGUGAUGAUCGACAACGGCAUCAACGACGAUCACUCUACGAGAGUCGGUAUCUUCAACGACGACAUUGACAUCCAGAGAUGAGAAAUAUCACGAGAAAACAUCUGCAAGACGGUGGACUUUUCAAGUCUGGCAAUGGCGGCUUUGCUGUGUGGGCCCUCUUUCGACCUUCCAACGUCUUCAACCAAGUCAUCCUUAAAGCAAAUAGGUUAUAACCUCUUUACCAAAUUUGUGUCGGAAGAUGACGACAUUUAUUUUGCCUCUCCAUGACAGUUUUUCUUCAUUGGGAUUAUUAUUCUCUUCCAUGGAGUAGAUCUAUGGAGGGGCACAUUUUUGUGCAAUCGAUUAAUGCGUUUGUGAUCAUUUUUAUUGUGUUUUUUUUUUUUUGGUUUUAAUCAUUACAUUAUUUCAGCAGCCUGACGAUUUCUUGGAUUAAACAAACAACAAAAACAAACCAAUGAAGCAUUGUCCAUUGAAACAGAGCAGUAAUAAGAGAAAGGGUUUUAAUUUUUAGUAAUAUGAUUCAUUGAGGAUCUUACUGACUCUGAUAUAAGUGAGACCUGCUUUGAUAUCAUGGGUUUUGCUGAGUAAGGUGAAUAAUUGAGUUUGA